rnacentral:lncRNA from 1 species
AAUUUGGAGGUUGGAGAUGAGCUGAUAUCCUUGCAAUCCUUUGGCUAGCCUCUCUGAUGGACUCCAUAGCUAUCAGCGUGUUUUGCAAGACUGGGAGGUCAGGAGUUGUUUUGGCGUCACAGGACACACUACCUAUAUGAUCAAUGAAUGGAUUUAUAACUCCAAUAAAUUAAUUUUGGGAGAUAAUGUCAUAAUUGGCAGAUAUAAUUUUUGAGGAAAGGGAGGCAAGAAGGUGACAUGUUUUUUGUUUUAAAUGCUAUUAUAUUCGUAGAAACAAGUUUUUGGACCCUUAUCCUCUGGAUGUCUCAGAUUGUCUGCCUGUGGCUGUAAUAUUUUUCUUCUUUUUUAUUUUCUAAGUGUUGAAAGAUUUAUUGAAUAGAUCAUUAUUUCUUAUGACCAGAGAAUGCAUUCAAUUUUCUCUUGGUGAUGGUUUGUGAUAAAAUAUUACUAAAUUCUGAAUUCUAUUGUUUCAAACUGGCUAAUUGCUUAAUGUGAUGGAAAAAAAGUAUAUCCACUACUAGUGAACAGUUCACGAGAUAUUUUCUAUUAUUGUUUUUUUUUUAUGAGAUCCCUCUUUAUUGUAACGUUGUGUGGAAAUCUCAGAGAACCGAUCAUUGUAUGUUAAACUUCCAUUAAUGCUUCCAACACACAAGAAAUUAGGUUCCCGAAGCCACCAAACACUGUUGGGGAUUCCAUCAAUUCUUGGGGACAAAGAAAGUAGAAACAAGAAGUUAAUGAAAAAUUCAGUCUUUAAUUGUAAAAUAAAUAAUAAACAUGGCAUACAUAGGAUAAAUAUGCAAAAAAGAAGAAGCUCCACAACAUAUAUAGGUCUCUCACAAUAACGAAAAGCAAUUGCAUUUAUUCAUCCAAACUAUACUUUUAAACGAAAGUCGAGUUGCCCAAGUUCCCUCUUGAUCUUCACUUGAAAGGAGUUAAAGACUUUCCACCGCCAAUACUUGAAGUAGUUCUAAGCUUAACCUUGGCACAGUCAACGUAAUCCGUAAACUUAUCUUUUCCUGAGCUAGCAUGUUGGUUUUCAUGUCCAGCACCUGACAAAGUCCUCUUAAGCUUAAUCUUUGUACGAUUGAUGUAGUCAGUGAAUAUAUCUUCAAUGUGCAUCCCUAGCUUGUUGCUACCUUCUUCCAACUUGUUAUGCUGAGGUGAUUCAACCUUGGGAUUAUUGGCUUUGUUUCCUUGGCUAGGACUUUGCGGCACAGCCAUGCUUGAUGCUUUAGCUUCAGGUUCCAUCCUGGAAGCAACUUGGGUGUUCUUUGGAAUGGAAGGAAGUGGAGUAGUAGCUAACUUGGAUUUACCAUUUUCUGGAACACCCUGGCUUGAAAAAUCGAAGAUGACAGGAACCAUUUCUGCUGCUUCUCUAUUCCUAAGAGUGUCAUGGCUUUUGGCACCCUCUGCAGACUUGCGAUGUUUUCUUGGAGAAUAUGUUUGGGAUUGGGUAUCAAUGAUUUUCUUAGAACGAGAGGGUGGUUGUGAUGAAUUUGGAGCAGGUCUAGCAGGCCUAGGAUCUUGUGGGCGAGUUGAGACGCGGCGAAUUGCUCGGAAAGCUGGAGAGACAGAAAAUACUUUGUAGAUUUUUUCACACACAUCCUUGGGGUAGCUACUGCUAUUCCUUUCCAUGGUGAAAGAUACCAAAUGAAGAAUAUGGUUUCUUUCUGUUCAGAGAUAUGAGUGAAAAUAUCUUGAUGCAACUGUAAUUCAGGGGGGCUGAAGGGCUUGGAUUUUAUUUUAGCAUAAACUGGAAUAUGGAGGAGAAAUCUAGGGCCCGAAGCACUUUAUUUUGGUCUGCAAAUAAUAAUAUUUAGAGCCCAUCCCUGUGAUCUACUGUGAAAAUCAGCUGUGCUUGUUAGAUUAUUUGAUGGGGGGCAUUACAACCAAAGAUUCCUAUCAAUUAGAAAGACAAACAACUUUCUGGAAUUUUCAAAAUGAUGUGAUGGUGAGGGAUCAUAUUCCCCUCUCUUUUUUUUCUCUGUGUAAAGCUAGAAUCUGACUAAAACUCCAGAGAUUUUAAGACUUUCUAGCUGUUCCACACAUUCGGAUAAUGAUACAUGCUGACG